rnacentral:rRNA from 1 species
GACGAACGCUGGCGGCGUGCCUAACACAUGCAAGUCGAGCGGAGAUAUAUUGAAGAUUUAUCGGAUAUAUAUCUUAGGCGGCGGACGGGUGAGUAACGCGUGGGUAACCUGCCUUAGUACAGGGGGAUAACAACAGGGAAACUUGUGCUAAUACCGCAUAAUAUCAUUGUAUGGCAUCAUAUGAUGAUCAAAGGAGCAAUCCGGUAUAAGAUGGACCCGCGUCCAAUUAGCUAGUUGGUGGUGUAACGGACCACCAAGGCGACGAUUGGUAGCCGAACUGAGAGGUUGAUCGGCCACAUUGGGACUGAGACACGGCCCAGACUCCUACGGGAGGCAGCAGUGGGGAAUAUUGCACAAUGGGGGAAACCCUGAUGCAGCAACGCCGCGUGAAGGAUGAAGGUUUUCGGAUCGUAAACUUCUUUGAUGAGGGACGAAUAAUGACGGUACCUCAAGAACAAGCCACGGCUAACUACGUG